rnacentral:piRNA from 1 species
UCCAGUAGGUUGCUUAAGUUUAUUUUGCUGC